rnacentral:rRNA from 1 species
AGCGAACGCUGGCGGCAUGCUUAACACAUGCAAGUCGCACGGGCAGCAAUGUCAGUGGCGGACGGGUGAGUAACGCGUAGGUAUCUAUCCUUGGGUGGGGGACAACUGUGGGAAACUACAGCUAAUACCGCAUGAUGACCGAGGUCUAAAGGCGCAAGUCGCCUGGGGCGGAGCCUGCGUACGAUUAGCUUGUUGGUGGGGUAAAGGCCUACCAAGGCGACGANCGUUAGCUGGUCUGAGAGGAUGAUCAGCCACAUUGGGACUGAGACACGGCCCAAACUCCUAC